GGGAUAGCUCAGUUGGUAGAGCAGUGGACUAUUCAUCCAUGUUAGGAAGAGUUGGGUUUACUCUUUAAUCAAGCCCACCA
rnacentral:tRNA from 1 species